GUAAGCUGGUUCUCGGGCAAUCGGGGCCGAGCCCUAAGAUUGACUCUGAUAUUGUCUUUUUUUCCUCAAAUGGGCAACGUCGCAGAAAAACCCAAUUUUGUGCAGGAUAUUCGACGCCAUUAUGGAUGUUCUGUGAAGUGAGAAUUUUGUUCAGAUUUUCAAAGACACUUCCAUAUCUUGAUCAAUGAACACAUUUUGCAAUGUGUAUGCAACUGUGCUUUGAUCUCCCUAAGAACUGGACAUUCAACAUUUUUCUUCGCUGGUCUGCCAUUUCCUUACCUGCUAGUAAUGGUGAUGGAAAUGGCUAGACAAAAGAUGAAAUAUGAUAAUGGUCAGAAGCUGAACAUAUUAGGAGUGGAACGAUGUUCGGAAGGUGACGGCGAACAGGAUGGCUGUGCACUUGCACAGUACGAUGAGUAACCAGUUCACGAAAAGGUUAAGAUGACAGUAAAUUUGUUGCGAUGAAGCUUCACGAUUCACAACUACUCAACACAUGCCGCGAUGAAAGACUACAUUGAAUGGAAGAAAGAGCUCCAUCAGUGAGACGAGUUUAUUUGGACUAGGUGGAGUAUUUGGAGUCUUCAAGAGUCGCACCGGCAUCCGUGUUUCUGCUUUCGUUCCAGCACAUUUCUAUGUCGGUAGCACGUUGGGCGUAUCAAAGGAAAAAUUAAGAAUGCCGAUCUGAAGAAAACAAACAUAAACGAGGUUGCAGAUUCCAUUUGGCAGGAGCUUGGUAUUCAGCGGUGUUUACUUAGUCAAAGUAUAAUACACGACUUUGCUAGAGAA